rnacentral:rRNA from 1 species
AUUGAACGGCUGGCGGCAUGCUUUACACAUGCAAGUCGAACGGCAGCGCGGGGGCAACCCUGGCGGCGAGUGGCGAACGGGUGAGUAAUGCAUCGGAACGUAUCCUGUAAUGGGGGGAUAACGUAGCGAAAGUUACGCUAAUACCGCAUACGCUCGAGAGAGGAAAGUGGGGGAUCGCAAAGACCUCACGUUAUAGGAGCGGCCGAUGUCCGAUUAGCUAGUUGGUGGGGUAAAGGCCUACCAAGGCGACGAUCGGUAGCUGGUCUGAGAGGAUGAUCAGCCACACUGGGACUGAGACACGGCCCAGACUCCUACGGGAGGCAGCAGUGGGGAAUUUUGGACAAUGGGCGAAAGCCUGAUCCAGCCAUGCCGCGUGCGGGAAGAAGGCCUUGG